CAGUCCUUUGUCAAGGGAUGACGCUUGAAGGUGUAGAAAUUUCUAAACAAAGAAAGCAUCGGCCGAACUUGAGCUAAACUACAAAGAGAAAGAAAUCUUAUCAAAAACCUAAAGGAGUUCGGCAUGACAGAAACUAGAGAAAUGUUCAGAAAAUGAAAGAGAGCAACGAUAAAGGAUGGUAGUGGAAGCCGAAGUCUGGCACGGAAGGCCUCCUGGUACAGAUAGAAGCAGUCGGAAGGAGGGGCGCUAGCCCGGUCAGUUGGCCCGGGAAGCUCCAGCUCGUACUCCGGAGGAACUCCAUAUUAAAUCCUUAUUAGUGAGAGUUCAUCCGGAGUCAUGGAGCCAGGGAUGGUGUUCGGUGCAAAGGCCAGACAAGGUUCGGUCCUAGCUAUGGGACUUUGGGGAACAGGGGCUGACGAACUCCUAGAAUUAUUAGAAGAGGAGAUAUCAGAAGAUAUUUUGGAUCAAAUGGAAGCCACAAAAUCCUGAAAAAAUCAGGAAAAAUAGCAAACAGGCCCUCAAGGAAGCUAAACAAAUAGAAUACGAAGAAGAAAGGAUAGGAAAAUGACAAGGAGUUCCGGAACUAACUUAGAUCGGCCCCAGGAGUGCAGGAAGAUGGCAAGGAUGAUGGAAGUCGACCCGGAGGAUGUCUAAGGCCGAGAAGGAUGCUAGAGGAAGCUGGAGCUCUCGGGGAAGAAGAGGAGAACCGAGGGAUUCUCUCAGGCAAAGUGAGACCCCUGAAGGAGAAGAACGUGUUUAAAUAGACCACAGGAUC
rnacentral:lncRNA from 1 species